GACGUAGGGCGCGAGCGUUGUCCGGAUUUAUUGGGCGUAAAGAGCUCGUAGGCGGCUUGUCGCGUCGAAUGUGAAAUCUCAGGGCUCAACUCUGACAUUGCAUUCGAUACGGGCAGGCUAGAGUUCGGUAGGGGAGACUGGAAUUCCUGGUGUAGCGGUGAAAUGCGCAGAUAUCAGGAGGAACACCGAUGGCGAAGGCAGGUCUCUGGGCCGAUACUGACGCUGAGGAGCGAAAGCGUGGGGAGCGAACAGG
rnacentral:rRNA from 1 species